AAGAUGAAAAAGAGAUGGUAGGACUGCCCUCGAGAAAUGUAGAGGAGAUAAACACCCAAGCAAACAAGCCAACGAAAUCCCAAACAGCCCCUAGUAAAGGCCAAUAGAAAGAGCUCCAGGCAGGAAUCUUGGGUUCCCUCUGAAAGCUCCUCUGGCAGUCUCGCCUGGCUGUGCAUCCAUGUCUACCACCAAAACAAACGUGUUGCGGGGGUGUUGUUGUUCAUGCAUUGCCCUCGAAAACUCCUGCUGUCAUGGGAUCACCCUCUUCCUGCUGAUGGAUGGUUAUUAUCUGACUCUGUUGCCAUGGAGAGGGAUGGAAUCAGGUGUGUUUUUCAGGCCUGCGUACUCCCACUGCGGCAAGGACUCUUCUGUACGUCACGUUUGGCAAGUCUGUGGCAGGCUGUGGCCAGGCUUUUCCGGGCAGGUGAAACCUUAAUCAACUGAUCAGCUGCAGAUCAUAUCAAGACCUCUGCUUGAUACGUUAUUAGUGACAAACAUGCUUCCACAACAAAUAUCACGAUGUCAUUUGACCAUAACAUUGUUGAGGGGGGAAAGAAAACACUCCAGUCAUCAGACUUGGGAUGAGAAGGGCUUGUGUUCACAUAAACACAACUUCACGUCACUGUUUCUCACCAAGGACUGUUUUGUUCUCAAAGACCGCUGCUCAUCCUCUGAUCUUGAUUUCCUACAUUACAAUGACCUCGAUUUGUAUGCCCUGGCAAGCAGCACAAGCACUGUUUCCUGUUUCUGAACUUGUAGACAACCAUCCAUAGGUCUCAACUGGUUGUCAAUUUAACCAGAUAGCUGUGGCACCUCCUUGAUGAUUUUUUUAUCUUUAGCUUAGAUUAAAAGGACCUUGGAAGUGAA